CUUUUGAAAAAUAAAUAUGCUAUGAUGCAAAUGAUGCAGAUUGGACUGGCUGGUUGUGCAAACUCUGAUCACUAGGUCGAAGCUUCAGUCAAAAUCAGAACCCAAAUCCAACUUAAGAACCCAAGGUCAACUGAAUAUACUGUUGUCUGAACUGAGAGUCACCAACAGAACCAAAAGUCACCAACGGUACCUGUAAUGAUCAACCCUUCCCCACUCACGGGUGU
rnacentral:lncRNA from 1 species